GAGAGCAGUUGGCAGUUAUUUUGCAGGAGGCUUCUCAGGGAUGAAGGCAAGCUGGCCCCUAGCUGAUCAGCUGGUUGGUGAGGACUCUUCACGAAAUAACUCAGCACUCAUGAUCAGCUGUCAAGCUAUAACGGAGUGUUGAGGCAGUCCCUGAAACCACAGCGCCAUUUUGUAGGAACUAAGAAGCCAACCUCAAGGAAUCACUCGCCCCAAGAAGACUUUGUUCUGAUCUGAUGUGUUUCUAGCCUGGUGGAGCCUCAGCUAUCCAAAGGAAGAGCUGUUAAGAUGAUUGGAAUUUUGGUUUUUCCGAUUCACUCUUUUUUCUCUCCAGCCAUCUGCCUUAGACAGCAGGAGAAAAGGAAACUUAGCCUCAGAGGUGGGGUCCUUCGGAAGGACUGACAGUGGGCUAGCUCUCCUGCUGCUGGGAGCCUGAGUGCCUUUGGCUCCUUGUCCAGACCUCAGCUUUACCACGGAGGUUACCUGCUUACCAUCAGCAUCGAAACUUGCCUCUUCCCCUGGGUGUAUUCUCCCUCUUUUGUGCACAGUUUGAUUCCUCCAAACUGCUCUCCCUGUGAAGAAAGCCGAUGGAAUUCAGGGAGCCUGGCCAGCCACCCAGGCCUUUAUAAAGGUCCUCGUACCACAGGAUGUAUGGGAGACCCAAUAAAGACUUUUGCAAAAUGCU
ensembl:lincRNA 1700008K24Rik RIKEN cDNA 1700008K24 gene